GCGGAAGUGGCGGAAUUGGCAGACGCGCUAGGUUCAGGACCUAGUGGGUAAUACCGUGGGGGUUCAACUCCCCCCUUCCGCA
rnacentral:tRNA from 1 species